rnacentral:misc_RNA from 1 species
GUGUUUUUAUUACAAGCAAACGCAUUCAAAUACAUCAAGGUUUUAAAUGUAAAAAACGUAGGCCUUUACGACCUACAAAGGGUGCACAGGUGUGGUAAGAAAAGAGGUUGGAAUGGUUCAAGGAGUGCACAUGCCCCUGAGGGCCAGCAAAGUCAUCCUCGAGCAUUUCGUUAAUGAUCCUUCCGCAGGUUCACCUACGGAAA